ensembl:lncRNA
AUUCUCUUCGGUGCGGCCGGCCGGCUGGUUGGUCUUGAGGUUGGACUGGUCAGCAGCUUCUUUGAGGUGAAGGGUCAAGAUCAGUGUUUACAGGAUGUGACACGUUGCUGAAAACACGUUUUUUUUUUUUCGCCCUUGAGCCUGUUCUUCAAAAUGGCUACAGGUAUUUCAGCUGGUUCUGCCAUCAGAGGUGAAGCCAGACAGCAGCACAGCUCAGCGAUCACAAACCACUGGGCACCUUCUCAUUAACAUGCCACUGGUUCAUGGUGAGGAACCCAAGAAGAUGUCUCAGUGGAAGCCCCCUUUCUCCACAAUGAAACAGCAAGAUGAAGAAAAAAUAGUAAUGUGCGGGAAUAUUUGAAAGUUGACUGCAGUAAGAGAAGCCUGACGGAUCUGUACAACAUCAUCUCAACACAACACAGUUCUGCACCUGGACCACGCCCCUGCUCAGCUGAUGGACCACCCAUCUCUCAGGACUGGAUGGAUGAU